UACAGAGGUGGCAAGCGUUGUUCGGAAUUACUGGGCGUAAAGGGCGCGUAGGCGGCCUGCUAAGUCGAACGUGAAAUCCCUGGGCUCAACCCAGGAACUGCGUCCGAUACUGGUUGGCUUGAAUCCGGGAGAGGGAUGUGGAAUUCCAGGUGUAGCGGUGAAAUGCGUAGAUAUCUGGAGGAACACCGGUGGCGAAGGCGGCAUCCUGGACCGGUAUUGACGCUGAGGCGCGAAAGCUAGGGGAGCAAACGGG
rnacentral:rRNA from 1 species